rnacentral:rRNA from 1 species
UACGUAGGUGGCAAGCGUUGUUCGGAAUUACUGGGCGUAAGGGCUCGUAGGCGGCCAACUAAGUCAGACGUGAAAUCCCUCAGCUUAACUGGGGAACUGCGUCUGAUACUGGAUGGCUUGGAUUCGGGAGAGGAAUGCGGAAUUCCAGGUGUAGCGGUGAAAUGCGUAGAUAUCUGGAGGAACACCGGUGGCGAAGGCGGCAUUCUGGACCGAUAUUGACGCUGAGGAGCGAAAGCCAGGGGAGCAAACGGG